rnacentral:lncRNA from 1 species
UUGGGUUAUGUUCUUCUCAUAUAUGUUAUGAUGGUAUGAUACUAAACCCCUCACGGGGAGGAUUGUGCCUGAUAUUCAUAUGAUGAAGACAUAAUUUUUCAAUCAGUUGAAUUGAAGUCUGGAGCUGGCAUGUCAGUUAACUGCUAGUAGUCUAAUGUUAUUUAUGUAUUAUUGUCAUUUUGUUUAUUUUCUUUGGUUACAUCUUCUGACAUCAGACUCGGACUUCUCUUGAACUGAAUUUUAAUGUGCGUAUUGUUAUGUGUUUACUUUUAUGCAUUGGCUAGAGGUAUAGGGGGAGGGUUGAGAUCUCACAAACAUGUUUAACCCCACCGCAUUUUUGCGCCUGUCCCAAGUCAGGAGCC